CCUGACUGCUAUCGGAUUGAUACUAAGCCAUGCGAGUCAUUGUAGCAAUACAAGGCAUACGGCUCAGUAACGCGUAGUCAACCUAACCUAUGGACGGGAAUAACCUCGGGAAACUGAGAAUAAUGCCCGAUAGAACACUAUACCUGGAAUGGUUUGUGUUCCAAAUGAUUUAUCGCCAUAGGAUGGGACUGCGGCCUAUCAGUUUGUUGGUGAGGUAAUGGCCCACCAAGACUAUUACAGGUACGGGCUCUGGGAGGAGUAGCCCGGAGAUGGGUACUGAGACACGGACCCAGGCCCUAUGGGGCGCAGCAGGCGAGAAAACUUUGCAAUGUGCGAAAGCACGACAAGGUUAAUCCGAGUGAUUUGUGCUAAACGAAUCUUUUGUUAGUCCUAGAAACACUAACGAAUAAGGGGUGGGCAAGUUCUGGUGUCAGCCGCCGCGGUAAAACCAGCACCUCAAGUGGUCAGGAUGAUUAUUGGGCCUAAAGCAUCCGUAGCCGGCUCUGUAAGUUUUCGGUUAAAUCUGUACGCUUAACGUACAGGCUGCCGGGAAUACUGCAGAGCUAGGGAGUGGGAGAGGUAGACGGUACUCGGUAGGAAGUGGUAAAAUGCUUUGAUCUAUCGAUGACCACCUGUGGCGAAAGGCGGUCUACCAGAACACGUCCGACGGUGAGGGAUGAAAGCUGGGGGAGCAAACCGGAUUAGAUACCCGGGUAGUCCCAGCUGUAAACUAUGCAAACUCAGUGAUGCACUGGCUUGUGGCCAAUGCAGUGCUGCAGGGAAGCCGUUAAGUUUGCCGCCUGGGAAGUACGUACGCAAGUAUGAAACUUAAAGGAAUUGGCGGGGGAGCACCACAAGGGGUGAAGCCUGCGGUUC
rnacentral:rRNA from 1 species